rnacentral:lncRNA from 1 species
UGUGUUUCAUUGUCUAUAAAAUGAGGACACAACUACCACCUGUGGUACUGAGCCAUGCUGGCUGGAGCCACAGCAGUUUACUCCCAGUUCAUUACUCAGCUAACAGACGAAAACCAGUCAUGUUGCCCCGUUUGUCAGAGAGUUUUUCAGACAGAGGCUGAGUUACAAGAAGUCAUCAGUGAUUUGCAGUCUAAACUGCGACUUGCUCCAGAUAAACUCAAGUCAACAGAAUCAGAGCUAAAAAAAAAGGAAAAGCGGCGUGAUGAAAUGCUGGGACUUGUGCCCAUGAGAAUAUGCCCUUGAUGCCACCACUAUCAUGAGAACUGUCUAUUCAUGCAACCAAUAUAGGCAGUCUACUGGAGUGCAGGCAAAGCAUAAUUGAUUUGAAGGAGAAGGAAAUACCAGAAUUAAGAAACAAACUGCAGAAUGUCAAUAGAGACAUACAGCGCCUAAAGAACGACAUAGAAGAACAA